GAACCAAAAUAACCCUUUCCGCCAAAACACUUCGUCAAAAUUAAGUGAAACUCACUCUUUUCCUUUGUCCAAACCAAACAAAAAACUCACUUUUUUCUCUUAUGCACUUAGAAACUUUAGACUCUUUUACCAAAAAAAACUUUAGACUCUGAAAAAAAAACCUUUAACCCUAAUCGAUUUGUCCAAGCUGAUUUUCCUCAAGCUUUUGUUCUGAUUUCUAACGCUUCAUGACCAUGAAACUCUGCAAAACCAAAUCGUGACCUUUACUCCUGAAAACCCUAGAUCUACAUAUCUCUGUUUAUCUUGUUUCUUAUUUAGUCCUCUUUGAAAAUCCCUAAAUAAAUCUCUCUCUCUCUCUCUCUCUCUUUUCAUAUCAAUGGCGGAUUUGGAUAAACUAGAGAAUGGAGGAGGAGGAGGCGGAGGAGCCGUAUCGCCGAAAUUAGAGACGACAGCGGUGGCGGCGGAGGAGAGGUUGAAGAGGCUAACGGAACUUGAAGGAAUCUCUGUGUUGGAUUUCGAUCUGCUUUGCUCGACGGAGGAUAACGAUGCGACGAAGGAUGUUUACGGCGGCGGCGUUUUGCGGCUUUGCGACGGAGGUACAAAAUUUUAUGAUGAAAAAUCUGUUUUGUUGAAGAUUUGGCUUAGUGGGAUCACUAGACGGCCUUAGGAACAGAAUCAGAGAUAUUGUAGUACAAAUAGAGAGAGAGAGAGAGAGAGAGAGAGAGAGAGAGAGAGAGAUGUCUCUGCCACAACCAUGAUUUCUACAGGAAAAUCCCAAGAGAUUUGACAGUUGGAUUUCUUGUUGUGUUUAGAUGAAAGAAGCUGAGAAAGACAUCAGAUUUUGGACUGAGUUCUGAUGUACGUUUGUCUAAGGUGGGAAGGAGCUCCAAGGAUGCUAAAAUCUGUUUGUAACUGAUUAGAUCGGGAAUACAAAGGUGGUCAUUGAACAUGGUCCUGUUCCCAUUUUUGUCAAACUAUUGGCUUCUCAAAGUGAUGAUGUCAGAUGAGCAGGCUGUUUAGGCAUUAGGGAAUGUUGCUGGUGAUUCUCCGCGGUGCAGAGAUCUUGUCCUUGGUCAGGGAGCUUUGAUACAAGUGUUGUUCCUUGACUCGUCGAGCUUCUCCAAUGAGUUUCAAGUCCCAAGAGUUCAUUGUUUUUUGUAUAAUGAAUGUUAUCUGUUAGCUGUUAAUGAAUAUUAUCAAAUUUUAUUUUGUUGUAGGCACCCAUCAGCAUCUGUGUUUAUUCAUGCGCUUCAUAGUAUUGGUAACAUUCUCACGGGAGAUGAUCUGCAAACACAGAAACUACUACAACUUCAAAUGCUAAUGGUUAAAGCAAGCAGACCAUGGAGAUGAACAAUCAACAAUGGAGGUUGUUGGCAUGAAGAGAGAGACGGACACACGUUCUCUGCUUGUGUGACCAACAAGAGCAGAGAUUGUGAGGGGAUAAGUGGUGGAGCACAUUGAGAGAUACGUCAGCGUAGAUUUAGUAACUUGGCUAAGGCAUUUGAAGACAACAAGAAGAGUCUUUAGGUUCAUGUUUUUUUUUAUUGUGGCACUUGUAAUGUUAGGUUAAGACUUGAUUUGAGACUUGUAAUGUUAGUGUAUUGUAGUUGGAAAUGCUCAAGAUGAUAUGUAUUGUAUUUUGAGGUUUCUAUAAAGUUUGAUUUAUAUAUUAA